rnacentral:rRNA from 1 species
UACGUAGGGGGCAAGCGUUGUCCGGAUUUAUUGGGCGUAAAGCGUGCGCAGGCGGCUUCGCAAGUCAGACGUGAAAGCCCCGGGCUUAACCUGGGAAUGGCGUUUGAAACUACGGAGCUGGAGUAUGGCAGAGGGGGGUGGAAUUCCACGUGUAGCGGUGAAAUGCGUAGAUAUGUGGAGGAACACCGAUGGCGAAGGCGGCCCCCUGGUUGGAUACUGACGCUGAGACGCGAAAGCGUGGGGAGCAAACAGG